AUUGAUGACUUGUGUGGCUUUUAACCAUAUCUGGGAAACUCUCAUACCCUCAUUGCCUUUGCUUGGAGGAUGUCCCUGCUGGUCCUGGCAGCCCUCACACUGCGCAGUCUUUCCACACACUACAGCCCAAGGAGUCAUCUGCUUGUGGUUUGGUAGCUUCAACCUUGUUCUCUACAACCAUCCCCCAUGCCGGUUCUCAGCUCAGAAAACUUCAAUGACUUCCAUUAUCCGCUGAAGUUUUAACUUUUACAUACAAACCUGAAUGGAAACAUUCAGGUUUUCCAGGAUAUGGCCUUUGCUGUCAUUUCCUCCUUGUUAUCCUUUCUCCCUCCCUCCAUAUUUUCCACAAAUGAUUUGGAAAUACUGUAAAAACCUCUAUAUUAAGUGCUGGGGAUAUAUUGAUGAUCAAGCUGCCUUUGUAAAGUGUGCAGAUAAAAGAGAGAUCCACAGAGAAGUAAUUCAAGUCAAGCAGGAUGAGUGAUUUGGUAGGGCAGUGUCGGGGCAACAGGAGGAUGCACAGGGAACUUCAACAAAUUGACCAGGCUGAUUUCUCUGAAGAAGGAACACGUCAGUGGAAAUGUGUGAAAACUGAUCAACAGAAGAAGGGGCUUGAUCUACUUUCCGUCUUAGAAUGUGUGCUCAGGUUGCGGUGUGUACGGUGUGGAUAAAUGAUUUGGGCCAGUGGCUUUCAAACUUGAGUGUGAGUCAGAAUCUUCCAGAGGGCUUUGUAGAACACCACUGCAGGACUCCCUCUCCUAGUAGGUUUGGGGGAGACCCUGAGAAUCUCCAUUUUUUUUUUUGAGACGGGGUUUCACUCUUGUGGCCCAGGCUGGAGUGCAGUGCUGCCGUCUUGGCUCACCGCAAGCUCCGCUUCCCGGGUUCAAGCGAUUCUCCUGCCUCAGCCUCCCACGUAGCUGGGAUUACAGGGGCCCGCCACCAUGCCUGGCUAAUUUUUUGUAUUUUUUAGUAGAGACGGGGUUUGGCCAUGUUGGGCAGGCUGCUCUCCUGACCUCAGGUGAUCCGCCCGCCUCAGCCUCCCAAAGUGCUGGGAUUACAGGCGUGAGCCACCGUGCCCGGCCGAGAAUCUGCAUUUUUAACAAGCUCCCAGGAGAAGCUGAAGCUGCUGAUCCUGGGACUGCACUUAGAGAACCACGGUUCUGAGGCUUUGAAGAACAAGCUGCCAUGAAUCCUGCAGCUACAAGGAAAUGAACUCUAUUAACUUGAGUGAGCUUAAAACUAGAUCCUUCCCCAGUCAAGCCUCCAGGUGAGAAUUCAAUCCUGGCUGGCACCUGGAUUGCAGCUUACAGAAGACCCAGCUAAGGCCAUGUCUGGACUUUAAAUCCACAGGAACUGCAAGAUGGUAUCAGAAGUGGGACCUGCAGUGGGGCAUCUAGCAACCCCCAGGAGCAUUGAGUGACCAGGCUUGGGACCCACCGGGCGCAGGGUGUCCAUUGUUCUCUCGAAGCAACUGAGAAUUGUGGAUAUUCUUCAUUAUUCCAUCAUCAUCUCAAACCUCUUGGGUAUAGUGUUUGACUACUACUGUGACCAUAAAUUCCAAUAAAACCUAGGAAAAAUGAAACCACUACAUUAACUGAAAGGGAAGGAUUUGACAGCUUCUUUUGGGCAUAUCAGAAUCGCCAGCAUCACUACUCUUGCACUGUGCGGCCAUUAUUAAGUGAAAUAAGGAUUACUUGAACACAAGCACUGCAAUGCCGCUACAGUCAAUGUGAUAACCCAGCUGGUGACUAAGUGACCAAGGACGGGGAGUAUCUACAGCGGGGAGACUCUGGAAAAAGGGAGGAUUCACAUCCAGUGCCACUGGGGCAGGGCAGAAUGAGAGUUCAUCAUGCUACAAAGAAUGGCACAGAAUAUACGACUUGAAGCUCAAGUGAUAGAAAUAACACAGGACAGGAAGUAAGACAGUUCUCGUCUGAAGUUCUUCUCUGACAGCCCACAAACUAGUUAAUAUAUGUGCCUGUCACAGUCUCCACCAGAAGCUUUAUCUUACUACAGAGUCCAGAUGCAUUAAGGCUGUGUUCGAGCCAUGAUCUUCCUCUGAAGAAGAAAUGAAGAAGAAAUUUAUCUUAUUUUUGGAUAUAGUGUUCUUAGUUGGCAGUUUAAUUAUUAUUUUUACUUCAUCACUUUGUAUACGUCAUCGCACUUUCUCCUGGCCUAUAAGAUCUCUCCUGAGAAAUUUUACGUUCUACUUUACUGGAA
rnacentral:lncRNA from 1 species